UGAGUCUGAGAGUUUUUUGUGAGCUGCCUACCAGCGCUCACAAAAAACUCUGCGCCUGUGGUAAGGUUGUGUUACGUUAGAAACAUACUUGCAAUAUUAGCCAGUUACAUUUUGUGUGCAAACUGUAUUGAGAGUGAAGAUUAUGCUGCGAGGGACAAUUUGCUUGAAAGCAAAGAUUAGUCGAUAAAUUGACUUGCGAAUAUACCACGAGUGAUUAACUGGUCCGCACAGCCUUCGCCGAAGGGAGCCGGCAUUUCUUUGGAGAGCCAUUCAGCUUAGGAAAACAAUUCAGAUUACCUGGUAAGGAAAAUCAUGGAAUUUUACGAUGACAGCACUGACACCAUUGCCUUGCAGGACAAUCGGGCAUUGUGAAAAGCACCUUGAGAUUCUUCGGGACGUACUCGUCGCCCAAGCAAACUGCGUCACGAGAUUUAGCAGCAAGCAUCCCCUUCGUUGGAUCCGUAGGUCCACUGACGUCGAUCAUCCGGUAAUAGGAUCAGGAAAGGGACUCGGUAAGCGAUGCAACGAGCGUCAAAAUGGCAGGAUCCUAAUUUGUUUGCCUUACAGAACACUAGGGCGUACGAAGGACGUGCUGAAGUGCCGAAUAGACCUGUUGGAACAACCCGACCAGCGAAACAAGAGAGCCUUACAAGGCUCUUUUUUUUCUACAGCUUCGAUUGGCCUUCAGACUCAUUCGGCGGAGGACUCUGGACCGCGACCAAUCCAUCAGCAAGGUACGAGCUGUCACACGAUCGAGGUCCAUCGACAGCGUAGAUCCCAAACAGGGUCGGGAUUCGGCACGGAGAGCGGGUGAUCGUGGAUGCCGGGGAUUACGGUGGUAGAUGAGCCACUGGCCAGCGUUAUUAUACGAAAGAAGCAUGUUGGCCGAAGCGGACGCGCUCGCCCACAAGCAGCAAUGAAGCGGUGACCGUGAGUACGAUGAAGAAAGUGGCAUAGAGUGAAAGAAGAGCUAGAAUGUUAGGGUCCAGAAGAGUAGGAGCAUGAGACAGGUUAAGGAAAAGUAAAUAAAAUGUUUGCACACUAAUAUUGCA